rnacentral:rRNA from 1 species
GACGAACGCUGGCGGCGUGCCUAAUACAUGCAAGUAGAACGCUGAAGGAGGAGCUUGCUUCUCUGGAUGAGUUGCGAACGGGUGAGUAACGCGUAGGUAACCUGCCUGGUAGCGGGGGAUAACUAUUGGAAACGAUAGCUAAUACCGCAUAAGAGUAGAUGUUGCAUGACAUUUGCUUAAAAGGUGCAAUUGCAUCACUACCAGAUGGACCUGCGUUGUAUUAGCUAGUUGGUGGGGUAACGGCUUACCAAGGCGACGAUACAUAGCCGACCUGAGAGGGUGAUCGGCCACACUGGGACUGAGACACGGCCCAGACUCCUACGGGAGGCAGCAGUAGGGAAUCUUCGGCAAUGGACGGAAGUCUGACCGAGCAACGCCGCGUGAGUGAAGAAGGUUUUCGGAUCGUAAAGCUCUGUUGUAAGAGAUGAACGAGUGUGAGAGUGGAAAGUUCACACUGUGACGGUAUCUUACCAGAAAGGGACGGCUAACUACGUG